ACCUUUAACAGGGGGAUAACACUGAGAAAUUGGUACUAAUACCCCAUAAUAAGGCAUCUUGAAAAUUCCGAUGGUUAGAGAUGGGCAUGCGUUGUAUUAGCUAGUUGGUGGGGUAACGGCUCACCAAGGCGACGAUACAUAGGGGGACUGAGAGGUUAACCCCCACACUGGUACUGAGACACGGACCAGACUCCUACGGGAGGCAGCAGUGAGGAAUAUUGGUCAAUGGACGCAAGUCUGAACCAGCCAUGCCGCGUGCAGGAUGACGGCUUAUGAGUUGUAAACUGCUUUUGUACGAGGGUAACGCAGAUACGUGUAUCUGUCUGAAAGUAUCGUACGAAUAAGGAUCGGCUAACUCCGUGCCAGCAGCCGCGGUAAUACGGAGGAUUCAAGCGUUAUCCGGAUUUAUUGGGUUUAAAGGG
rnacentral:rRNA from 1 species